rnacentral:lncRNA from 1 species
GUGUAUGUGUGUUUAUGCCUGUGUGUGUGUUUAUGCCUGUGUGUGUGUUUAUGCCUGUGUGUGUGUUUAUGCCUGUGUGUGUGUUUAUGCCUGUGUGUGUGUUCAUGCCUGUGUGUGUGUUCAUGCCUGUGUGUGUGUUUAUGCCUGUGUGUGUGUGUGUGUGUGUUUAUGCCUGUGUGUGUGUUUAUGCCUGUGUGUGUUGAUGCCUGUGUGUGUGUUCAUGCCUGUGUGUGUGUUCAUGCCUGUGUGUGUGUGUGUGUGUUUAUGCCUGUGUGUGUUUAUGCCUGUGUGUGUGUUUAUGCCUGUGUGUGUGUUUAUGCCUGUGUGUGUGUUUAUGCCUGUGUGUGUGUUUAUGCCUGUGUGUGUGUUUAUGCCUGUGUGUGUGUGUGUGUUUAUGCCUGUGUGUGUGUUGAUGCCUGUGUGUGUGUUUAUGCCUGUGUGUGUUGAUGCCUGUGUGUGUGUUCAUGCCUGUGUGUGUGUUCAUGCCUGUGUGUGUGUGUGUGUUUAUGCCUGUGUGUGUGUUUAUGCCUGUGUGUGUGUUUAUGCCUGUGUGUGUGUUUAUGCCUGUGUGUGUGUUUAUGCCUGUGUGUGUGUUUAUGCCUGUGUGUGUGUUCAUGCCUGUGUGUGUGUGUGUUUAUGCCUGUGUGUGUUUAUGCCUGUGUGUGUGUUUAUGCCUGUGUGUGUGUUUAUGCCUGUGUGUGUGUUUAAGCCUGUGUGUGUGUUUAAGCCUGUGUGUGUGUUUAUGCCUGUGUGUGUGUUUAUGCCUGUGUGUGUGUGUGUGUGUGUUUAUGCCUGUGUGUGUGUUGAUGCCUGUGUGUGUGUUUAUGCCUGUGUGUGUUGAUGCCUGUGUGUGUGUUCAUGCCUGUGUGUGUGUUCAUGCCUGUGUGUGUGUGUGUUUAUGCCUGUGUGUGUUUAUGCCUGUGUGUGUGUUUAUGCCUGUGUGUGUGUUUAUGCCUGUGUGUGUGUUUAUGCCUGUGUGUGUGUUUAUGCCUGUGUGUGUGUUUAUGCCUGUGUGUGUGGUGAUCGAACGGUGGGAGACCAUAGCUGCUUUUACUGGGUCAUUAAAGCCUGAUAUUGGGCCUCUGUACGCAUAUGUAGAUAUUCCAUAAAAAAUCUGCUGUUUCCAGCUACA